CCUACGGGGGGCAGCAGUGGGGACUAUUGCACAAUGGGGGAAACCCUGAUGCAGCAACGCCGCGUGAGCGAUGAAGGCCUUCGGGUCGUAAAGCUCGGUCCUAAGGGAAGAAUACUGACGGUACCUUAGGAGGAAGCCCCGGAUAACUACGUGCCAGCAGCCGCGGUAAUACGUAGGGGGCUAGCGUUAUCCGGAAGUAAUGGGCGGAAAGGGUGCGUAGGAGGCCUUGGAUGUCAGGGGUGAAAGGCUACGGAUAAACCGUUGUAAGCCUUUGAAACGGUAGGGCUAGAGUGCAGGAGGGGAGAGGGGAAGGCCCAGUGUAGCGGUGAAUUGCGUAGAUAUUGGGAGGAACACCAGUUGCGAAGGCGGCUCUCUGGACUGUAACUGACGCUGAGGCACGAAGGCGUGGGGAGCGAACAGGAUUAGAUACCCCAGUAGUC
rnacentral:rRNA from 1 species